CUGUCGGCCAAGCAAUGUGGAUACUUCGUUUCAAACACCGGUUUAUUAACAAAUAAAUGGCUAUGUUGGGUUUCGUCACUCACGCCACUGAGCGCUUGAGGGUUCGAUCCCGCCUAACCAGCAUCCAAAUGCGCUAUCCGACGUUUUG
rnacentral:vault_RNA from 1 species